rnacentral:rRNA from 1 species
CACGUAGGGCGCAAGCGUUGUCCGGAAUUAUUGGGCGUAAAGAGCUCGUAGGCGGUCUGUUGCGUCCGCUGUGAAAACUCAGGGCUUAACCCUGAGCCUGCUUCCGGUACGGGCAGACUAGAGUGAUGUAGGGGAGACUGGAAUUCUUGGUGUAGCAGUGAAAUGCGUAGAGAUCAAGAGGAACACUCGUGGCGAAAGCGAGCUACUGGACAAUUCCUGACGCUGAGGCUCGAAGGCUAGGGUAGCGAAAGGG